UCGUACAAAAUGUGAGGGGCAUGCAAGGGCUGUCGUUUUACUUCAAAGUCGUGCACGUCCGGGUGUGUCCCCCUCACAUAAUAAUCCACCUCACCCUUUGUGCAUCACCGCGUGGGCACCCUUCGGGAUCGUCUCGGAGGGGGCUCGCGUUUUCACACAAACCCCCCCUUUUAAAAGUGUAGAAUGACCUCAUAUAUGCGCUAAACCCGCAAUCAAUACAACUUUCAACAACGGAUCUCUUGGCUCUCGCAUCGAUGAAGAACGCAGCGAAAUGCGAUACGUAAUGUGAAUUGCAGAAUUCAGUGAAUCAUCGAAUCUUUGAACGCACCUUGCGCCCCUUGGUAUUCCGAGGGGCACACCCGUUUGAGUGUCGUGAAAACCUCAACCUCCUUGGUUUCUUCUGGAGACCAAAGCAGGCUUGGACUUUGGAGGCCUUUGCUGGUGCCUCUCUCUUUUGAAGGCCAGCUCCUCUUAAACAAAUUAGCAGGGUCCUCUUUGCCGAUCCUCGACGUGUGAUAAGAUGUUUCCAUGUCUUGGUUUCUGGCUCUGUCACUUUUGGGACCCGCUUCUAACCGUCUGGACCUUGCGUCGAGACAAUGUUCGAGCGCGUCUCCCUUCUCGGGAAGCUCUCUCGACCCCACGAACCCUUGACCUCAAAUCGGGUGAGACUACCUGCU
rnacentral:sRNA from 1 species